CUCGCCGUAGCUCAGCGGACGAGAGCACCGCCCCCCGAAGGCGGGGGUCGCACGUUCGAGUCGUGCCGGCGAGGCCA
rnacentral:tRNA from 1 species